GAUGAACGCUGGCGGCGUGCCUAAUACAUGCAAGUCGAGCGAACAGACGAGGAGCUUGCCCCUCUGACGUUAGCGGCGGACGGGUGAGUAACACGUGGAUAACCUACCUAUAAGACUGGGAUAACUUCGGGAAACCGGAUCUAAUACCGGAUAAUAUAUUGAACCGCAUGGUUCAAUAGUGAAAGACGGUUUUGCUGUCACUUAUAGAUGGAUCCGCGCCGCAUUAGCUAGUUGGUAAGGUAACGGCUUACCAAGGCAACGAUGCGUAGCCGACGUGAGAGGGUGAUAGGCGACACUGGAACUGAGACAGGGUCCAGACGACUAAGGGAGGCAGCAGUAGGGAAUGUUACGCAGUGGGCGGAAGCAUGACGGAGCAACGCCGAGUGAGUGAUGAAGGUCUUCGGAUCGUAAAACUGUGUUAUGAGGGAAGAACAAAUGUGUAAGUAACUAUGCACGUCUUGACGGUACCUGAUCAGAAAGCCACGGCUAACUACGUG
rnacentral:rRNA from 1 species